rnacentral:rRNA from 1 species
AUUGAACGCUGGCGGCAUGCUUUACACAUGCAAGUCGAACGGUAACAGGCUUUCGGGUGCUGACGAGUGGCGACCGGGUGCGUAAUGCUUCGGAACGUGCCCAGAGGUGGGGGAUAACGCAGCGAAAGCUGUGCUAACACCCCAUGUUAUCUGAGGAUGAAAGCGGGGGACCACGCAGCAAUGUUUGGCCUCGCGCCUUUGGAGCGGCCGAUGUCGGAUUAGGUAGUUGGUGGGGUAAAGGCCUACCAAGCCGACGAUCUGUAGCUGGUCUGAGAGGACGACCAGCCACACUGGAACUGAGACACGGCCCAGACUCCUACGGGAGGCAGCAGUGGGGAAUUUUGGACAAUGGGCGCAAGCCUGAUCCAGCAAUGCCGCGUGGGGGAAGAAGGCCUUCGGGUUGUAAACCGCUUUUGUAGGGAACGAAAAGGAUCUGGCUAAUACCUGGGGGUGAUGACGGUACCGUAAGAAUAAGCACCGGCUAACUACGUG